CAGCAGCCGCGGUAAUACGGGGGAUGCAAGCGUUAUCCGGAAUCAUUGGGCGUAAAGCGCCUGAUAGGUUGUUUAAUAAGUCUGUUGUUAAAGACUAGGGCUCAACCCUAGGAAAGCAAUGGAAACUACUAGACUUGAGUAUGAUAGGGGUAGAGGGAAUUUCUAGUGUAGCGGUGAAAUGCGUAGAUAUUAGGAAGAACACCGGUGGCGAAGGCGCUCUACUGGAUCAUUACUGACACUCAGAGGCGAAAGCUAGGGUAGCAAAAGGGAUUAGAUACCCCUGUAGUCCUAGCCGUAAACGAUGGAUACCAGAUGUUGCGUUUAUUAUGCAGUAUCGUAGCUAACGCGUUAAGUAUCCCGCCUGGGGAGUACGCUCGCAAGGGUGAAACUCAAAGGAAUUGACGGGGGCCCGCACAAGCGGUGGAGCAUGUGGUUUAAUUCGAUGCAACGCGAAGAACCUUACCAGGGCUUGACAUACUACAGAUCUUUUUGAGAAAGAAGAGUGCCUUCGGGAAUGUAGAUACAGGUGGUGCAUGGCUGUCGUCAGCUCGUGUCGUGAGAUGUUGGGUUAAGUCCCGCAACGAGCGCAACCCUCGUUUUUAGUUGCCAAUUUAUUGGGAUCUCUAGAAAGACUGCCGGUGACAAACCGGAGGAAGGUGAGGAUGAGCGUCAAGUCAGCAUGCCCCUUAUGUCCUGGGCCACACAUCGUGCUACAAUGGUAAAGACAAAGAGUCGCCAAUUCGCGAGAAUGAGCUAAUCUCAUAAACUUUAUCUAAGUUCGGAUGGUA
rnacentral:rRNA from 1 species